rnacentral:tRNA from 1 species
GCGCCCAUAGCUCAACGGGAUAGAGCAGCAGACUUCUAAUCUGCAGGUUCCAGGUUCGAGUCCUGGUGGGCGUA